rnacentral:rRNA from 1 species
UGGGGAAUCUUGCACAAUGGGCGAAAGCCUGAUGCAGCAACGCCGCGUGCGGGAAGAAGGCCCUCGGGUUGUAAACCGCUUUCAGAAGGAACGAAACUGACGGUACUUUCAGAAGAAGGUGCGGCCAACUACGUGCCAGCAGCCGCGGUGACACGUAGGCACCAAGCGUUGUCCGGGAUUUAUUGGGCGUAAAGAGCUCGUAGGCGGUUCAGUAAGUCGGGUGUGAAAACUUUGGGCUUAACCCAAAGCGUGCAUCCGAUACUGCUGUGACUUGAGUACGGUAGGGGAGCGGGGAAUUCCUAGUGUAGCGGUGAAAUGCGCAGAUAUUAGGAGGAACACCGGUGGCGAAGGCGCCGGCUCUGGGCCGAAACUGACGCUGAGGAGCGAAAGCAUGGGUAGCAAACAGGAUUAGAUACCCAUGUAGUCCCUGAGCGGGCUGGCAAGGCGCAU